rnacentral:rRNA from 1 species
UACGAAGGGGGCUAGCGUUGUUCGGAUUUACUGGGCGUAAAGCGCACGUAGGCGGUUUGUUAAGUCAGGGGUGAAAUCCCAGAGCUCAACUCUGGAACUGCCUUUGAUACUGGCAAGCUAGAGUCCGGAAGAGGUAAGUGGAACUCCUAGUGUAGAGGUGAAAUUCGCAGAUAUUGGGAAGAACACCGGUGGCGAAGGCGACCAACUGGUCCGACAUUGACACUGAGGCACGAAAGCGUGGGUAGCAAACAGG